rnacentral:rRNA from 1 species
UACGGGGGGGGCAAGCGUUGUUCGGAAUUACUGGGCGUAAAGGGUCGUCGAGUGCGAUGGCCACUAAGUCAGACGUGAAAUCCCUCGACGUCUAACCGGGGAACUGGCGUCUGAUACUGGGUAGUUGGACGUUGAGUUGGGAGAGGGAAUGCGGAAUUCCAGGUGUAGCGGUGAAAUGCGUAGAUAUCAAGUGGAACACCAGUGGCGAAGGCGAGUCCCUGGACAACUCCUGACACUGAGGCACGAAAGCUAGGGGAGCAAACAGG